rnacentral:rRNA from 1 species
AGCAGCCGCGGUAAUUCCAGCUCCAAUAGCGUAUAUUAAAGUUGUUGCAGUUAAAAAGCUCGUAGUUGAAUUUCGGGAUCAAUAUUUCGGUCAUGCCGUUGGUAUGCACUGUUAUCAUUGAUUUCUCACCUUUCUAAAGAACCGUAAUGCCAUUAAUUUGGUGUUACGGGGAAUUAGGACUGUUACCUUGAAAAAUUAGAGUGUUUAAAGCAGGCUCGCGCUUGAAUACAUUAGCAUGGAAUAAUGAAAUAGGACGUUUGAUUCUAUUUUGUUGGUUUCUAGGAUCGACGUAAUGAUUAAUAGGGAUAGUUGGGGGCAUUAGUAUUCAAUUGUCAGAGGUGAAAUUCUUGGAUUUAUUGAAGACUAACUACUGCGAAAGCAUUUGCCAAGGAUGUUUUCAUUAAUCAAGAACGAAAGUUAGGGGAUCGAAGACGAUCAGAUACCGUCGUAGUCUUAACCAUAAACUAUGCCGACUAGGGAUCGGAUGAUGUUAAUUUUUAAUGUACUCUAUUCGGCGCCU